GACGAACGCUGGCGGCGUGCUUAACACAUGCAAGUCGAACGGAAAGGCCCUGCUUUUGUGGGGUGCUCGAGUGGCGAACGGGUGAGUAGCACGUGAGUAACCUGUACCUGCCUUUGGGGUAACUUAAUGAAACUGGGUCUAAUACCACCUAGGAGUUACUGCCGCAUGGUGGGGCUGGGUUAGAUUCGGCGGUUGGGGAUGGACUCGCCGCUUGUCAGGUUGUUGGUUGGGUAGUGGAUUACGAUGGUCUUGACGGGUAGCCUGCCUGGGAGGGUGACAGGCCACAUUGGGACUGGGAUACGGCCCAGACUCGUAUGGUAGGCGACAGUGGGGAAGAGUGUACAGUGGGCGGAAGCCUAAUGCAGCAACGCCGCGUGCGGGAUGACGGCCUUCGGGUUGUAAACCGCUUUCGCCUGUGACGAAGCGUGAGUGACGGUAAUGGGUAAAGAAGCACCGGCUAACUACGUG
rnacentral:rRNA from 1 species